rnacentral:tRNA from 1 species
GGGCAGGUAGCUCAGGGGGUAGAGCGUAGGACUGAAAAUCCUAAGGUCGGCGGUUCGACUCCGCCCCUGCCCA